GCAUAUCAAUAAGCGAGAAAGAACUACAAGGAUUCCCCUAGUAACUGCGAGUGAAGCGGGAAAAGCUCAAAUUUAAAAUCUGGCGGUCUUUGGCCGUCCGAGUUGUAGUCUGGAGAAGUGCUUUCCGCGCUGGACCGUGUAUAAGUCUCUUGGAACAGAGCGUCAUAGAGGGUGAGAAUCCCGUCUUUGACACGGACUACCAGUGCUUUGUGAUGCGCUCUCAAAGAGUCGCGUUGUUUGGGAAUGCAGCGCAAAAUGGGUGGUGAAUUCCAUCUAAAGCUAAAUAUUGGCGAGAGACCGAUAGCGAACAAGUACCGUGAGGGAAAGAUGAAAAGCACUUUGGAAAGAGAGUUAAACAGUACGUGAAAUUGCUGAAAGGGAAACGCUUGAAGUCAGUCGCGUUGUCCGGGACUCAGCCUUGCUUCGGCUUGGUGCACUUUCCGGAUGACGGGCCAGCAUCGAUUUUGACCGCUGGAAAAGGGCUGGAGGAAUGUGGCACCUUUUGGUGUGUUAUAGCCUCCAGUCGCAUACGGCGGUUGGGAUCGAGGAACGCAGCACGCCUUACGGCGGGGGUUCGCCCACCUUCGUGCUUAGGAUGCUGGCAUAAUGGCUUUAAACGACCCGUCUUGAAACACGGACCAAGGAGUCUAACAUGCCUGCGAGUGUUUGGGUGGAAAACCCGAGCGCGUAAUGAAAGUGAAAGUCGGGACCUCUGUCGUGGAGGGCACCGACGCCCGGACCUGACGUUCUCUGACGGAUCCGCGGUAGAGCAUGUAUGUUGGGACCCGAAAGAUGGUGAACUAUGCCUGAAUAGGGUGAAGCCAGAGGAAACUCUGGUGGAGGCUCGUAGCGAUUUCUGACGUGCAAAUCGAUCGUCAAAUUUGGGUAUAGGGGCGAAAGACUAAUCGAACUCAUCUAGUAGCUGGGUUCCUGCCGAG
rnacentral:rRNA from 1 species